GACGAACGCUGGCGGCGUGCUUAACACAUGCAAGUCGAACGGAAAGGCCCUGCUUUUGUGGGGUGCUCGAGUGGCGAACGGGUGAGUAACACGUGAGUAACCUGCCCUUGACUUUGGGAUAACUUCAGGAAACUGGGGCUAAUACCGGAUAGGAGCUCCUGCUGCAUGGUGGGGGUUGGAAAGUUUCGGCGGUUGGGGAUGGACUCGCGGCUUAUCAGCUUGUUGGUGGGGUAGUGGCUUACCAAGGCUUUGACGGGUAGCCGGCCUGAGAGGGUGACCGGCCACAUUGGGACUGAGAUACGGCCCAGACUCCUACGGGAGGCAGCAGUGGGGAAUAUUGCACAAUGGGCGGAAGCCUGAUGCAGCAACGCCGCGUGCGGGAUGAUGGCCUUCAGGUUGUAAACCGCUUUCGCCUGUGACGAAGCGUGAGUGACGGUAAUGGGUAAAGAAGCACCGGCUAACUACGUG
rnacentral:rRNA from 1 species